AUGAACGCUGGCGGCGUGCCUAAUACAUGCAAGUCGAGCGAACGGACGAGAAGCUCGCUUCUCUGAUGUUAGCGGCGGACGGGUGAGUAACACGUGGAUAACCUACCUAUAAGACUGGGAUAACUUCGGGAAACCGGAGCUACUACCGGAUAAUAUUUUGAACCGCAUGGUUCAAAGGUGAAAGACGGUCUUGCUGUCACUUAUAGAUGGAUCCGCGCUGCAUUAGCUAGUUGGUAAGGUAACGGCUUACCAAGGCAACGAUGCAUAGCCGACCUGAGAGGGUGAUCGGCCACACUGGAACUGAGACACGGUCCAGACUCCUACGGGAGGCAGCAGUAGGGAAUCUUCCGCAAUGGGCGAAAGCCUGACGGAGCAACGCCGCGUGAGUGAUGAAGGUCUUCGGAUCGUAAAACUCUGUUAUUAGGGAAGAACAUAUGUGUAAGUAACUGUGCACAUCUUGACGGUACCUAAUCAGAAAGCCACGGCUAACUACGUG
rnacentral:rRNA from 1 species